rnacentral:tRNA from 1 species
GGGACUGUGGCUCAGUGGCAGAGCGCUUGCCUAGCAUGUAGGAGGCACUGGGUUCAAUCCCCGGCUCCA